rnacentral:misc_RNA from 1 species
GAUGAAGAACGUAGCGAAACGCGAUAAGUAAUGUGAAUUGCAGAAUCCAGUGAAUCAUCGAAUCUUUGAACGCACAUUGCGCCCGCCAACAUUCUGGCGGGCAUGCCUGUUCGAGCGUCAUUUCAACCCUCGACCUCCCCUUGGGGAGGUCGGCGUUGGGGACCGGCAGCACACCGCCGGCCCUGAAAUGGAGUGGCGGCCCGUCCGCGGCGACCUCUGCGCAGUAAUACAGCUCGCACCGGGACCCCGACGCGGCCACGCCGUAAAACACCCAACUUCUGAACGUUGACCUCGAAUCAGGUAGGACUACCCGCUGAACUUAAGCAUAUCAAUAAGCGGAGGA